CUACGGGGCGCUGCAGUGAGGAAUAUUGCACAAUGGGGGAAACCCUGAUGCAGCAACGCCGCGUGGAGGAUGACGCAUUUCGGUGUGUAAACUCCUUUUAUCAGAGAAGAAAAUGACGGUAUCUGAUGAAUAAGCUCCGGCUAACUCCGUGCCAGCAGCCGCGGUAAUACGGAGGGAGCAAGCGUUAUUCGGAAUCACUGGGCGUAAAGGACGCGUAGGCGGGUCUUUAAGUCAGGUGUGAAAUCCUAUGGCUCAACCAUAGAACUGCACUUGAAACUGGGGACCUAGAGUAUGGAAGGGGCAGGUGGAAUUAGUGGUGUAGGGGUAAAAUCCGUAGAUAUCACUAGGAAUACCGAAAGCGAAGGCGACCUGCUGGGACAUUACUGACGCUGAGGCGUGAAAGCGUGGGGAGCAAACAGGAUUAGAUACCCGGGUAGUC
rnacentral:rRNA from 1 species